rnacentral:rRNA from 2 species
CAAGAAAUGGGGGUGCGCAACAUUAGUUAGUUGGUAGGGUAAAAGCCUACCAAGACGAUGAUGUUUAGCGGGGCCAAGAGGUUGUACCGCCACACUGGGAUUGAGAUACGGCCCAGACUCCUACGGGAGGCAGCAGUAAGGAAUAUUCCACAAUAAGCGAAAGCUUGAUGGAGCGACACAGCGUGCAGGAUGAAGUCUUUCGGGAUGUAAACUGCUGUUGUAAGGGAAGAAAAAACUAGAUAGGAAAUGCUCUAGUCUUGACGGUACCUUAUUAGAAAGCGACGGCAAACUAUGUGCCAGCAGCCGCGGUAAUACAUAGGUCGCAAGCGUUAUCCGGAAUUAUUGGGCGUAAAGCGUCCGUAGGUUUUUUGUUAAGUUUAAAGUUAAAUGCUAAAGCUCAACUUUAGUCCGCUUUAGAUACUGGCAAAAUAGAAUUAUGAAGAGGUUAGCGGAAUUCCUAGUGGAGUGGUGGAAUACGUAGAUAUUAGGAAGAACACCAAUAGGCGAAGGCAGCUAACUGGUCAUAUAUUGACACUAAGGGACGAAAGCGUGGGGAGCAAACAGGAUUAGAUACCCUGGUAGUCCACGCCGUAAACGAUGAUCAUUAGUUGGUGGCAAAAGUCACUAACACAGCUAACGCGUUAAAUGAUCCGCCUGAGUAG